rnacentral:ncRNA from 1 species
GCAGGUAAAAGGCAAAGCUGUUGAAAAACAGUGACGCAAAGCUACGGAUCUAAGGGGAUGGGGAUCACUCUAAGACAGCCGGGCUACCUAU